CCCUUGGCAACUUGUUGAUUCGUUAAUUGUUUUUACUUUUGUUAAUUAACUGAUUGUUAAGUUUUAAUUUCUCUUAUUUUGUUUCAUUCUGUUCUAACCUUAAUCAUUAAUUAACCACCUCUUCAUUUAGUAGAUUAGAUUUUACCUUGUGAAAGAAACUAAUCUCUUUAUUUUCCUUUGUUUUAUUUACCUAAAUACAAUAAUUGUGAAUCUGUUAUCCUGCUGAUUAAUAAGUUAAUCUGUUUUUCAUAUUAAUUAUUUGUCAAUUUCAAUAUCUUAUUUAAGGUGUGGCUGAUUGAAGAUAUUGGAUCUGGAUUAGCGCUUGUGGAUUAAAACAAAAGCUACAAUGUUAACAAGGCGAACAAUUUUUUCCAUCUCUCUCUCUCUCUCUCACUUACUCACUGUUUCUCUUAUACAAAUUGGAAAUCUAAUUAAGCCUUACAGCCAUUUUACUACCAAUUAAAUUACCAAUCAAGUGAAUUAUCUGUUUUUUCCUACCUGCAAGCGGUAACUCUCAGUUCCCCUAAACCAAACAUCACCUACAAACCAUUUUAAUGCUAUUAUAUUUUUUUCCCACUCGAUACAAUUUAACACUAAACCCAUAAUAAUAAUACUAUCAAACUAAUCAAUCGUA